AGCUCCGGUGGCCUAGUGGUUAGAGCGUCGGCCUCGGAUGCGGGAAGUUGUGGUUUAGAACCCCGGCCGAGUCA